rnacentral:lncRNA from 1 species
UGAAGUCUAGUGGUGACAGAGACGAGAAAUUACGGCGUGCUUGGUGGCGACGAUCGGGCCGUUAAAUCUGUGAGAUGAAAGGUCACGUCGUUUGGAGUGCCCAAAACUUCUAGAAACUCCUUGCGGCGCUGUGUUCUCAGGAAACCCUAGGGUUUCCUUGUCUGUUUUUACCGUUUGGGCUUUUUGGGCCACUUUAGUCUAGGGUCUGUUAUUUAGGCUUGGGUGUAACCUGGUUUGGUUUAAUUUGGGCUACGGGUGUAUUUUAGGCUGCUGGGGUUUAAUUUUUUUGACUCUGUAUAUGGACUUUUAAAAUAGAUAAAUACUUAUUUAUUUAACCCUUUUUAUUCUAUCUUCGGCCCGGUCAAAUUUGGGCUAAUACAGCUGCCCCUCUUUGCUCAUUGCUGUGUAACGGGAAUCGAGCAAAGAUUUAAAAGAUCAAAUUUGACCGGUCAAAUCAUGGUCUUUAAUCUUCUUGACUAUCAUGUUGGUAUCUUUGAUCGGCUCUCCGCUGAACACAGAGACGCCAAAUCUGCUUCUUCGAUUUGUUUUCUGACAAUACAGAGAUGACAAAUCAUCUUAGAUUUGCUUCAUCGUAAGCACGUGAAAGCUAAAUCAGCUAUGUCUUUGAUUUGCUCCUUGUAAGCACAAGGAUGCCAAAUCCUCUUGGAUUUUGUUUCAGUCUAAUCGUCUGAAGGUCAGAUCUACUAUGUAUCUGCACUCUAUUGAAGUAGAGAUGCCAGAAUUUGAUUUGUUCUCUAACAAUGCAGAGACGAAAAAUCAUCUUAGAUUUGCUUCAUCGUAAACACGUGAAAGCCAAAUCAGCUAUAUCUUCGAUCUGCUCCCCGCCGAAUACAGAGAGAUAAGAUCUGUCAUCUUGGAUCUACUUCAGCAUAAACAUCUGAAAGUGAGAUCUGCUAUCUGUCUGCCUUCCAUCAAAGUGGAAAUGCCAGACUUCGAUUUGUUCUCUGACAAUAUAGAGGCGACAAAUCAUCUUAGAUUUGCUUCACCGUAAACACGUGAAAGCCAAAUCAGCUAUAUCUUCGAUCUGCUCCCUGCUGAAUACAGAGAGAUAAGAUCUGUCAUCUUGGAUCUGCUUCAGCGUAAACAUCUAAAGGUGAGGUCUACUAUGUGUCUGCCUUCCAUCAAAGUGGAAAUGCCAGACUUCGAUUUGUUCUCUGACAAUACAGAGGCGACAAAUCAUCUUAGAUUUGCUUCAUCGUAAACACGUGAAAUCCAAAUCAGCUAUAUCUUCGAUCUGCUCCCUGCCGAAUACAGAGAGAUAAGAUCUGUCAUCUUGGAUCUGCUUCAGCGUAAACACCUGAAGGUGAGAUCUGCUAUGUGUCUACCUUCCAUUAAAGUGGAAAUGCCAAAAUUUGAUUUGUUCUCUGACAAUAAAGAGGCAACAAAUCAUCUUAGAUUUGCUUCAUCAUAAACACGUGAAAGCCAAAUCAGCUAUAUCUCCGAUCUGCUCCCUGCCGAAUUCAGAGAGAUAAGAUCUGUCAUCUUGGAUCUGCCCCGAUGAAGGUCAGAUCUGCUAUGCUGCGGCCUAUUACCCUACUGUUUUGGGGUUUAAAGUGCGCUGUCUUCGAUAACCUGUAGAAUGAUUAUGCCUGAUAAUUUUGGAUGCUAUGCUCGAAGUGAUUCGAAUGUUCCUAAUUAAACAUGUUAUGAUGCAAAAUGUUGUGAAUAUGACCCCUAUCCUAGACGUCAUCAUUCAUUCCUUCGUUUGUCUUUUCUUUUCUCAAAGUUUCAUUCAUGCUCAGCCUGUAAGCCGUCUUCCAAUGAUACGAUCCACUGAGGAUGUCUGUAAGAACUGAAUUAUUGGCUUUGUCUAUUUUCCUUUUGGACAAGAAGAAAGGAAUUCCUCGAGUUCUUUCAUCCCUUACUUACGUGAAUUUCUCGAACAAAUGUCCUGUUUUAGUUUCUUGUGUUAUCUAGAAAUUUUAGAGUAAUGCGCAAAACUUCAUUUGUGACCAUAUUAGUUCAUCUAUCAUUAUUUCAAUGCAACAUACUUAAAGAAUAGUGAAUGAUGAAUAAAUUUUUAAGAAUAAUUAAAUUUGAAUGAAUUAUCAAAAGAUACAAAAGGGAAUUAAUCUGCUAGCCUAUCUUCUAGAAGAAAUAGAAUCUAAAGAUAGCAAACAAGAUAGAAGUUAGAUCCUCUAAAUAUCGCCGCUUGAGUGCCUAUACACCAGCUCCAUGAAGUCUUUCUUGAGUUCAAAAUGUGUUUAAAAGAUCCCAAGUGCUCUGUUGAUGCCCCAGUUUGCAGCAUUCUUCGCUCUUUGUAGCAAGAUCAUUAUGUACUCUUCAAAAUUUGAGCUGCCCUUUCGGAUUUUCAACUCAAAACCCCUUUGGUCACAAGGUGCCCUUUGCGGGUUUUCACAUUGGCCUCUCUGUUUUUUUUUCAUCUCAAGGCGCCCUUUACGGGUUUUCACCUUAGAUUCUCUUCUUCUUUAGACAAAGUAUUAUUUAACUGAGUCCGAGUUCACUGGAUUGGGUAAUCUUUUCCCAUCCAUUUCUUCUAAGAUCAAUGCACCAAUGGAGAAAGCUUUCUUCACGACAUACGGCCCUUCCCAAUUCGGCAUCCAUUUUCCUCUAAAAUCUUUUUGAAUAGGAAGGAUCUUUUUCAGUACAAGGUCUCCCUCAUGAAAUUCUCUUGGUUGAACUUUCUUGUCAUAAGCUCGCAUCAUUCGCUUCUAAUACAUCUAACCAUGUCGAAUGGCUUUUAGCCUCUUUUCCUCAAUCAAGUUCAACUGGUCAUACCAGGAUUGAACCCACUCAGCUUCAUCUAACUUUACCUCCGUCAAAAUUCGAAAAGAAGGUAUUUCUACUUCAAUAGGUAAUACUGCUUCCAUCCCAUAAACUAACGAGAAUGGAGUUGCCCUAGUAGAGGUUCUGACAGAUGUUCGAUAGGCUAGGAGUGCAAAUGGCAACUUCUCAUGCCAAUCUCUAUAGGUCUCAGUCAUCUUCCCCACUAUUUUCUUAAUAUUCUUGUUGGUAGCUUCCACUGCCCCAUUCAUUUUUGGAUGAUAGGGAGAAGAAUUCUGAUGCUUGAUCUUGAACUGGUCGCAAACCUCCGCUAUCGUUUUGUUAUUUAAGUUCAAUGCAUUGUCAGAUAUGAUCUUCUCAGGUAUUCCAUAUCGACAAAUGAUCUCCUUCUUCAAGAAUUGACUCACAACUGACUUAGUAACAUUCGCAUAAGAAGCAGCCUCUACCCAUUUUAUGAAGUAGUCAAUUACUACAAAGAUAAACCGAUGUCCAUUCGAAGCUUUCGGUGAUAUUGGUCCAAUGACAUCCAUGCCCCACAUGGAAAAGGGCCAUGGAGAAGUCAUAACAUGUAAAGGUAAAGGUGGUACAUGAAUUUUAUCCCCAUAAAUCUGGCACUUAUGGCAUUUCUUGGUGUAGUUGAUACAGUCCCCUUCCAUAGUAGCCCAAUAAUAGCCAAACCUCAUGAUUUGCCUUGCCAUCGUGAACCCAUUUGCAUGCGUCCCGCAUACACCUUCAUGAACUUCUUCUAAAAUUAGCUUAGCUUCCACAGCAUCGACACAUCUCAAAAGUACUUGGUCUUUUCGUCUUUUGUACAGGAUAUCUCCAUCUAAAACAUAGUCGCAAGCUAACCUCCUCAAAGUUCGUUUGUCAUUUUCACUGGCCUGUUCAGGGUAUUUAUGAUCUCUCACAUAUCGCAAUAUAUCUUGAUACCAGGGGUUAUUGUCAUUUCCUUCCCUCUCAAUGUUACAACAAUGAGCUGGAGCCUCGUAAAUGCUCAUUUGAAUUGGCUUCAUUUCUUCUUCUUUAUUCACCUUGAUCAUUGAGGCCAAGGUUGCUAAAGCAUCUGCCAUCUGAUUUUCAUCUCGUGGGAGAUAAUUGAAGGUGAUUCUAUCAAACUCCUCAAGUAACCCCAAAACUACCUUUCGAUAACUAAUCAAUUUAGGGUCCUUUGUCUCCCAUUCGCCUCUAAGCUGAUAAACAACCAACGCCGAAUCUCCAUAUACUUCUAAGGUUUUUAUACCUCGCUCUAUAGCUGCUUGAAGUCCCAUGAUGCAUGCUUCAUAUUCAGCCAUAUUGUUCGUGCAAUCAAAGUCCAACUUGCACGUAAAAGGAUAAUGAUCACCAUCCAGAGAUACCAAGACUGCCCCAAUUCCAUUUCCGACUACAUUAGAAGUCCCAUCAAAGUUGAGUUUCCAAGAAGAAUUUUCAGUCAUCACUAUUCACAUUAACUCCUCAUUUGGAAAAUCAAAGUUCAAUGGCUCAUAAUCCUCUAGAGACCUACUGGUCAAGAAAUCUGCCACCGCACUUCCUUUUAUAGCCUUCUGACUUAUGUAGACUAUAUCGAACUCUGAAAGCAAAAUUUUCCAUCUUGUCAUUCUCCCAUUUAAAGCCGUUGACUCCAUCAUGUAUUUCAAUGGGUCAAGCUUUGAGAUGAGCCAAGUGGUAUGGUAUAGCAUGUACUGUCUUAAUCUUCGAGUUGUCUUAAUCUUCGAGUUGUCUAAAUCAGCGCACAACACAACUUUUCAAUCGGUGGAUAUCUCAUCUCACAGUCAGUGAAUUUCUUAUUGAGAUAAUAAAUCGCCUUCUCCUUCUUCCCUGACUCGUCAUGCUGGCCAAGCACACAUCCCAUGAAAUUACUGAACACUGACAAGUACAGUAUCAAUGGUUUAUCUGGGCUUGGUGGAGAUAAUAUCGGAGCAUUCAACAAAUACUGCUUGACUUUUUCAAAAGCAUUCUGGCACUCCUCAUCCCAAGUACCUUGAUUGUGUUUUCUGAGGAGACGAAAGAUAGGAUUGCAUUUCUCGGUCAGUUGUGAAAUAAACCGAGCGAUGUAAUUCAAUCUUCCUAGGAAUCCUCAAACUUCCUUCUGAGUACGUGGUGGAGGUAACUCUCGUAUGGCUCUGACCUUGUCUGAGUCGACUUCAAUUUCCUUUUCACUGACCACGAAGCCUAAUAACUUUCCCGAUCUGGCUCCAAAGGUACACUUUGCUGGGUUGAGCUUCAACUGAAAUUUUCUCAAUCUCAAGAACAAUCUUCUCAAGACCUCAAUGUGCUCUUUUUCUGUAUGCGACUUGGCAAUCAUAUCAUCAACGCAUACCUCAAUAUCCUUAUGCAUCAUGUCAUGGAAUAAGUUUACCAUGGCCCGUUGGUAUGUUGCCCCUGCGUUCUUUAGUCCAAACGGUAUUACUUUGUAGCAAAAGGUGCCCCAUAAGGUUAUGAAGGUGGUUUUAUCCAUGUCCUAUGGAUGCAUCUUUAUCUGAUUGUAUCCUGAGAAACCAUCCAUGAAGGAAAACAAUGAAUAUCCCGCUGUGUUUUACACCAAAGUGUCAAUGUGUGGUAAAGGAAAAUUAUCCUUUGGGCUUGCUUUGUUCAGGUCUCUGUAGUCAACACACAUUUGUACCUUCCCAUCCUUUUUAGGAACAGGCACAACGUUAGCUACCCAUUCAGAGUACUUCACUUCUUGCAAGAAUCCUGCAUCGAACUGCUUCUUGACCUCAUCCUUUAUUUUCAGAACGAUAUAUGGCCUCAUUCUUCGCAACUUCUGUUGGACUAGCUUACAAUCCUGUCUUAUUAGAAGACAAUGCACUACAAUGUUGGUACUCAAUCCGGGCAUAUCCUGAUACGACCAGGCGAAGAUAUCCUUGAACUCUUGAAGCAACUCAACCAGACCAUGCCUUGUGUCCUCGCUAAUUAGGGUUUCAAUUUUCAACUCCUUCCCUUCCUCUAGGGCUAUAUUCUCUAUUGCCUCUUUCUCAUGUGGCAUGAUUUGUUUCUCCUCUUGCUUUACCAUUCUUAAUAGAUCGAGAGAUACAUCACUAUCUUUAAAAUCCUGAAGUUCCUCUAAACACAUGUCUUGCUCGCCAGAGAAAUUAGGAGCUGCAGUAUCAGCGCUCAUAUCAUUGAUAUCUAGGGACCUGUGGGGGUAUGAAAGAAUAUACAAAGAAUGAAUGAAUCAAAGAAUGAUUGUUUAUGUGCUAAGAAUUUCCAGAAUUUAAAGGAAUAUUGGUUAAUAAAAGUGAAACAAUACUCGUUUAAAUUGAUAAAAGUUAUGUUUUAUUUAAAUAAUUAUAGAUGAACAUAAGCCUAUUUCACAUAUGUAAUUUUAUUACUCCUAGGCCCUAGAGUAACAGACAUGUUUCGAGAAUUACUCUGAAAAAUUCCUAAAGACUACAGGAAGGUCUUCAACAGUCCAAUUGUUCAGAGAGCUCCCCGAUUCGUAAGGGCGAAUGCCCUCGAGGUUUUCUUACCCCGAUCCCUCAUUGUGUACAGCAUUAACUUGAUGACUUUCUUCUAUCAGCAAUCCUCCUGACUUAAAGGAUUUGGAUAUAGGUGGGAAUGUCAUCGGUUCCCAUUCCACUUCUCUUCCAUUCAAACGCGCUUUUCUUCUUACUUGGCGCUUCUCCAUUUCUUGCCUCAUGUGUUUAUGGUCUGGCUUGAAACCCAAACCAAAACGAUCCUUCUUCUCACUCAAUUUUGGGAUUUGAACCCCUCCUUGCAACUGUCUUCCUAGCCCUUUUCUUGGCAAUGCUCCCCUCCCUAUCAUCAUUUGUAGGGCCAUCCUCGUGGCUUUAGACAUUUUGGGUGCCGGCAUCACACUUCCUUCCGAAAUGAAGGUGGCAUUAAUGAUUUCUAAAGAGCGGAAAGAACACUCGAUAGCCUCUUCAUUGGCCUCAACAUAAAGGGCCUUGCUGGUGACUGCUGCUAUGAUAUCCUCCUCCACGUUGAUGGUUAUUAGGCGUCCAUCUGUCACUAACUUUAAUUUUUGGUGCAAUGAAGAGGGCACCGCUCCUGCCAAGUGUUUCCAUGGUCUCCCCAAUAAACAAUUGUAGGAGGGCUUGAUAUCCAUCACCAAAAAAUCAACUUCAUAUGUAUUUGGUCCAAUCUCCAGAGGGAUGUCAAUUGGUCCCAUCACUUUUCUUUCAGUUCCAUCAAACGUGAUGUCUUCAUAUACGAACUAUCAAUGGGUAAUCUAUUUAAUGUGGAUAAUAGAAGGACGUUCAAAGUAGACCCAUUAUCAACAAGUACACUUGGAAGCGUGUAUCCCUUGCACCGAGUAGUGAUAUGCAAGGCCUUGGUUGACCCUAUGCCCUCGGGUGGAAUUUCAUCAUCAUUGAAAUAGAUGAAAUUGUCAGCACUGAUGUUGUUUACUAACCGGUCCAACUUGUUAAUGGAUAUGUCAUGGGUGACAUAUGUUUCAUUAAUGACCUUUAACAAUGCAUCCCGAUGCACCUUAGAACUCAGGAGUAGGGCUAACACUGAUAUACGUGCCGGCUGCUUGUGCAACUACUCGACCAUGCUAUACUCGCUAUGUUUCAGGAACUUUAGAAACUCCUUAGCUUCUUCUUCCUUUAUCGGCUCAUUGAUGGGUACUUCGGUCUCUUUCUCCCUUUCAACCUCGACAUCUUUCGUUUUUGUGGGCUCCAUUCUGAUAUUCCCCCGUCAUAAUGUUUCCCACUCCGCGUAUAGGAACCUUCAUUUUGCACACCUCUAGAUGCACUGGCUAUACUCUCCCCUUCAGGUAUUGUUAUACUGCAAUCAUAACUCCAUGGCACCCUCUUGUCAUCCUUGUAAGGGAAAGGAUUGGGUCUAUGAAUGACAACCCUAGGCCCAAUUUGCGCCUCCACUUCAUUAUUUCCUGGUAAGGAAAUAAUAAUCCUCGAUCGGUGGGUUUCUUGUCAUUCAUUCUCCAGCACACAUAUUUGUCCUUCAUAAUAACUACCCUCAGAAACUUGUAGUUCUUUGUUAACCAUAAGGCCUUGUACCAUGGCCUUGAACUCUUCGCAAUUUUGGAUCAUAUGACCCACCUUUCCAUGGAAUUCAUAAUAGUUCUCCAUUCUUUCUCUUCCUCUUCUAGAGGUUAGCAUACCUUUUUUCACCAUCUCCUCCCAUAUUACUUUCAUAGGUGUCUUCAUCCCAGCAAUAUCUUCAUUCACUUUUCCUUUCUUUAUUUCAUCGAUGGCAUUCACUCCUUGAUUACCAUGAUCUGGUAACGGAUUUUUGGUAUUAGGGGUACUAUCGAAUUUCACCACCUCCAUUUUGAUGAGCCUCUCCACGACCUUCUUGAACCCAGUGCGGUUUUCAAUUGAAUGCCCGAUAUUCCCGCGUGAUAUUUGUAUUUAGCAUUUGCAUCAUACCAUUUGGGGUACGGUGUCUACAGUGGUUUUAAGUGAAACAGAGCAAUGGCAUGUGCAUCGUAUAAGCUUUGAUAAAGCUCACGAUAUGCCACAGAGAUAGAAGUGAAUUGCAUCCUCUCUGAAUUCUGUCUUGUACCCGAUUCCUGUCUUUGAGUACUUUGUUGCUCACCCGUAGCUGCUUUAGGUUGUCCAAAUGUGAUUGCCCUGGAGUUGAAACUGUUCAUGUUAUUCACCUCAUUGUCUUUUCUCCUUGGGGCUAAUCUUAUAGCCACUUCCCCCUCAAUUUUACAGCCCGUCACGGCAUUUUCAAUCAUCUCACCCGCCAUAACUAUAUCCGCAAAACUUUUCAUGGUACUUCCAAUCAUGUGUGUGAUGAAUGGCGCAUUCAAAGUAUUAAUAAAUAACAUGGUGGUCUCCUUUUCCAACAAUAGUGGUUGUACUUGCAUUGCCACCUCCCUCCAUCAUUGUGCAUAUUGCCUAAAAUUUUCAUUAGGCUUUUUAUCCAUGUUUUGAAGUGUGAUCCUAUCUGGCGUCAUAUCAAUCACAUGGUUAUACUGUUGCAUGAAAGCCUGUGCAAGAUCUCUCCAUGAACCAAUUCUUGCACGGCUCAACUAAUUGUACCACCUAGCCGCUGCUCCCACUAGGCUGUCCUGAAAACAAUGGAUCAAUAGUUGAUCAUUGUUCACAUAUCAAAUCAUCCUCCUACAAAACAUUGUUAUAUGUGCCUCUGGACAAGUAGUCCCGUUGUACUUUUCAAAUUCUGGUAUCUUAAAUUUAUGAGGAAGCACCAAAUCUGGAACCAAACUUAAGUCUUUGGCAUCAAUCCAAUGAUGAUUGCCUGCGCCUUCCAAAACCCUAAACUUCUCCUCUAACCAUCUGCAACGAUCUUCCAAUUGUUUCGCGGAUUCAAUUGUCAUUCUUUCCUUCUCCAUCAAGUCCAGAUCAGGAGUGAUAGGGUUGACCGAGCUAUCACCCAAAUUAUUUCCCAAACCAGAUGGGAAAUUUACGGGGAUUCCAGCAUCAAUUGGCCUAUGUUGAGGCCUUACGGUGAUAGAUGGCCUUCUAGGAGGUGCCUCGGUUUGCAGUGGCACAUGAGGUGGAGUAAAACCCAGAGACCUUUAUUCUCCUCUUUAGUGAUUGCCAUGGGAGCUUUUCCUUUAUCAGUGGCUCUCAGCAGCUGAGCCAUUUCAGCCAUCAUGUUUCUCUGAGCCUCUAGCAUCUGUUCCCUCAUUUCAUUCUGCAUUUUGGCCAACUGCUCCUGCAUUUGAUCUUGCAUAUCUUUUUGUAAUUGCUCGAACCUUUGAUCUAUACUCUUAGUCUUAGUAUGAGUGUCGUAAGGAUGCAUGAUUUCCAGAUUUUCUUUUCUACCUUCAGAAGUAAACUUUAACUAAUCAGGGUCUUUCUAUAACUUUGAAUGCAAAUGAUGUGAUGAAAUGCUAUGAGAUGCAAAUGCAUGAAUGCAAAAAAGAAUAUCGAUUCUGGUUCAACUUCAUUUAGAAAAUUUUAUUUAGAAAAAGAAUAUCUUUACAUAUAAGAGGAUUACAAAUACGCUUUCGCCCUAAGGCCCAAAGCUUUAACUCUAUCUAAUAAAAGGGCUAACUCUCGUCCUAUAUCUGACGAUGAUGAAUACAUCAGACUCAAUACAUCAGUUUGAAUUGCCAAGUCUUGUACAUAUUCACCAACCUCUCGAAUCUGGGCUAUGGCUUCACCAAUGACAUGAUCACUUUCUCUAACCUGUCCUCUAGCCUGACGAAGCUCUCCCUUCAGAUAAUCUUCUUGCGUCUCGAGCUGCUCAACUUGGAGUUCACCAUCAUGCAAUGCCACUUCUAAAUCCUCAACCUUGCUUUUUAGCUCCUUUAACUCGACCGCAGAAUUAUGGUUUUGGUGCCAACGUAGGGAUCUUACAAGCUCAGUUACCUUAGUCUUCAAUCCUCUAUUUUCUUCCUCUAAUGCCAAAUUCUGCGACUGCAUCUCUUGGAACUUCCUCUCCCAAUACUCGGCUUUAGCUUUUUCCUCUUAGACCUCUUUUUGCAACUGAUCCGAAGAUCCUCCUACUCUCGCUCUCCUCAGGGAUACUUGUACCCUUUUGUAAUGCUCCUUUAGAUCAUCUCGAUCUUCCUCAAUCUUCUUCUUUUCUUUUUUCUCUUUCUCGAGCUCCAUCUUUUGAACAUCGACGUCCAAACUCAAGUACAUCUUUUUUUCUUCAAGCUUUGCUAUCCUUUUCUCAAGCUCUAAGUUCUUUCUCUCGAACUCCUGCUUCAUAAUUUCUGACUCUGAGGGCCUUACUUGCAAAUAUUCUUCCAUCGGUCGAGCUCCUUCCACACUUGGCUUAGGGAUAUUAUCGUUAACCCUUCUGCCUCUCCAUUCAAUGUAUUCCGGUGUGGUUGCAGGACUAAUAGCUACUCCUUUCAACCGACAAGUCUUUUUCCAAGCACUAGAAACUUCACUAACCUUCCUCUUGUAAUCGGCUCCUCUAUAUACGAACUCACUUUGUGUAAUAGCCCAAAAUUGGGUCUAGUUGGAACAGAGGUUUCGGGACCACAAAAUAUGAGAUAUAAAUAAUUAUUUUAUGAUUAUUUUGAGAUUUAUGAUAUGAUUGCAUGAUUGUGUGAAAAUUUCAUAAAGAAAUUCUAUGCAUAAAGUGCUUAAUUCGACGUUAGGGACUAAAUUGAAUAAGUUGCAAAACUUGCAUUCUAAAAGUUUCUAGUAUGAAAUUGAUUUGAAAUGUUAAUUAGGAGGUCUUAAAUAGCAAUUUUACCAAUUUCUAAGUUAUGUACAAAAAUUGGACAUGGAUGGAAUUUUUGGAAAGUUUAGUAGUAAGGGUAUUUUGGUCAUUUAGGGGUAAAAUGAAUUAAAAUACAAAAUUAAAAGCCAAUUUUGCUCAUGUUCUUCACCAUGGACGUGUAUACCAAGGGAGACUUCAUGGCUAGGGUUUUCAAGCUUCCCAAGCUCAAUUGUAAGUCCAUUCUAACCUCGUUUUUCAAGUUCUUUACGUUUUUGGAGUCCCGGUAACUUGAUUUAGCUUAUGCUAACAAUAAUUCAACCUAGGGUUCAUAUUUGGAAAAUAAUCAUAGGUAAAAUUUGUGUAUUCUGGUGUUUUAUGAUACAAUAUGAGGUUUUAAAUUAUGUUAGACAACUUGUGCUACUCAGUUUUAAGUGAAAACGAGAAAAAGGGCUUAAUCGGUAAAAAUACCUAAUAGUCAUAAGUAUAUGUUAGAGUGAGAAUUUGAUGUUGCCAUAGAAGGGAAAAGUGAUCAUCAUGUCAUAAAACAUAAGAAUAAGGGAUGAAGUUUAAUUCCCGAGCCUAGGGGCAAAAGUGUAAAUAUGCAAAAGUUUAGGGGCAAAAUUGUAAUUUUUCCAAAGUUUGAGUUAAGGAUUGUUUUGAAUAGUACAUUAAUUAAAUAAGUAAAAUAUGAUGUUUUAGAUCCCGGAAAACGAGAUUUGAACCUAGAAUGAUAGAAAAAUCGAAAAUUGAGAAAGUUGGUAAAAUGGUCGUUUUAAUGUCAAGGUAAGUUCAUAUGUAUAAUAAGCAUUAAUUUAUGCAUGUUUCAAUGUAAAAUUGAUAUAUUUACUAUGAUCUCCGAGGUGUUGAAAGUAUGUAAGUUGGUAUGAUAAUAAUACAACAAUAAUGCUGUAAUUUAUAUUUGAAAGUUAAAUUUAGUGAAUUAAUUGAAUUAUGUUAAAUUAAAUGAUUAUGGUGCCAAGUUUAUGAAUUGAUUUAAAAAUAUGUCUAUGGUACAUGAAGUGCAUUGAAUUAUCAUACAUAAAUGUGAUUUCUAUGAUUAUGGAUAUUAUGGGAAAUUGUAAGUUCAUAUGAUUUUUAAUAAGACAAUGUGUAAUUUAAUGUUAUUGCGUUGAUAUUAAAUGAUAUGUAAGUUUAUAUGUAAGUAAUACAUCACUAUUACUUGUAUUAUGAUAUUUUAUAAAAAUAUUAGAAAUAUUUUUGUGGAUAAUUACUUGAUUGGUGAAAUUGUUGGAAAAGAGAGAGAAAUCCCGGUUGAACCUUCGGAAAGAUUGGAUGAUACAGAUGGUAUGUAGCUAGGUCACAUGUAUAGUGCUGAGUGCACAUCAUGUGUACAAGAGAGCUACAAGACAUUAUGAUGUAGCUAGGUCGCAUGGGUGAUACUAUGUGUACACCAUGUAGACAAGAGAGCUACAGGAUAUAUGUAGCUAGGUCGCAUGCGUGGUUCCAAGUGAAGGACACCAUGUAGACAAGAGAGCUACGAGAUAAACUGGCUAGGUCACAUGGGUGGUACUAAGUGUUCACCAUGUGUACAAGAGAGCCGAACUAUAUGAUGGGUGGAGCUAUGUGCUGAAACCACCAAGUAUCGAGGAUUGAUCCGAAGUGUUCAACGGGAGACUCUCUAUGUAUUGCUUUGUGAGUUUUGUGAUGAAUAUGUGCAGGAACUUGGUUAUGUGAAUGAUGUGUUCAUUAAGUGACCAAGAUGUGGUAAGGUUAUAAACAAGUAAGUUAUGCAUGAGGAUGAUUUUGUGGUGACCUUGUGAUCAUGGGCCUAUACUUGUGAUGUAUGAAAUGUGGUGAAAAUGAUUUGUGAUAUGUAUGUUAAAAUGAGGUUAAUACAAACAAAGUGUGAAAGAGUGAAUUAGCAAUAAAACUGUUUUGGACAGUAGGAGUGACGUGAUUUUGAAAAAUCACCAAAAAUAGUAUAAAUUGAAUCAGAGACUGAAUGAGAUAUCAAAUUAAAUCUUAAUGAGUCUAUUUUCAUAUACAAGAAACAUAGAAAGCAAAGGAUUUCUAUAUUUCUAGAUAUUUAUGUUUUCGUGAGACUGAUUCAGAAUGAUUAUGUGAUCCCCUGUUCUGACUUUGGAAAAUCAAAAAAAUUUGGAGAAAAAUAAUUAGAGGCUAAAAAUUAUAUUUUUAAAAUCCAUAAUAAGUCUAUUUUCAAGAUAAAUCAACAAGAACAUUAUCCGAGUUUUGUACUGUGAGAUAAUUAUUUUUUAGUGAAGAGAGGUCAGAACUGUCAGAAAGUGAAACAGGGGAAAUUUUAAUGAAUAAACUGUACUAAUUUUCUAAACCAAAAAUUAUGAAAAUUUUAUGGUGGAACUAUAUGUGAGUCUAAUUUCAGAGGAAAUUUACGGAUCUUAAUUUGGAGCUUUGUAGCUCGAAUUAUAAAUAAUUAAGUGACUAUGACUCGUGUGGAUAGUUUGAUGUGAACAUUUAUUAAUAAAUUGUGAAAUCGUACUUACAAGAAUGCUAUAUACAUUAAGGAUGUGGAAUGGAGAGGAGGAGGAGGAAAAUAAAUAUAUAUGGAAUACAUGGAAACUAUGGUAUAUGAAAUAUUGAUAUAAUGAAAUAAAUGAUAUGUGUUUAUAAGAAAACAAAAAGAGAAUGUUAUGUAUCAUGACAUGUAUAUAUAUAUAUGACUAGUCUCAAUGUAAUGCUUGUUGGGUAUGAAAUUGAAUUGAAAUGUUUCAGGCAAACAUGUUAUUCUGCGCAUUUGAAUCGUGGUAUUUUAUAAAGAUAUGAUCUAGCUUUAAAUAUGAAUGCUUGAUGAUUAAGCUGGAGAUAUUUGGUAAGAUGAUAAUCUUGGUAUAAAUGUAUAAGUGGUACUAUAAUAAACAAGGUAAAAUGAGUAUGAGGGACACAUGUAUGAUGACAUACAAAUGCUAUGUUUGUGGUUUAAUUGAGGAUGUUUAAUCAUUAAAUGAAUACCAUGUUAUAUGCUUUUGAUUUUGUAUAAGUGUGUAAGAGAUCAAGGUUGACCAAAGCUUGGAAAAUAGCCUAGGUAUAUUCCACACAGGCAGAGACACGACCAUGUGUCUCAGCCGUGUAUGGAACACGACUUUGGGACACGGGCGUGUGAAGCCUUAAAGCAUGAAAUUUCCAAGAUUUUCGUAAGUUCUCGGUUUAGUCCCAAACCCUUUCUAAAGUAUGUUUUGGGCUCCAUAGACUCAAAUAAGGGACUAUGUGUAAGAGAAUGAACGCUUUGAAAUAUGAAUAAAAUUUUAUGGCUCGUAUUUUAGUUUAAUGUUUGCAUGUUUUUCUGGUAACGCCUCGUACCUUAGCCCGGCCUCGGAUACGGGUAAGGGGUGUUACACUUUGAGCCAACCCCUGAGUCACUGGUACGAACUGUCUCAAUCCAUGCUGCUUCAGCACGAGCAAAGGGGCAUAACCAAUGGCACCCCAAAUUCCUAAUAGGGGGACCCAAUCAAAACUGCCGCAUCGGUAAAGAACCUCACCAGGAAUCAUCCACGGAGCCCUCUACUCGACAUCUUUCGACUGAAGGUUCUGAAGUAGCGCAAUCCAAUUCUCUUCUGGAACAUCAACUCUCUUAGUUGAAGCUACUAUGUCUUUCAACGGUGAAUAAUCCUCGAAGAAGACCCGACAAACCACCCUAUCUAUCAACCGAAAAUGACUGUAGAACCAAGCCAGAAGUAACUGAGCACACCCUAUAAACCUGCUAGCACCAUCCCUCCUACAUGCACCUAAAGACCUGAAUGUUUCCGCCAAAAUUGCAGGAACAGAAGUGACCUUUUUACUGAGUCGAUGAAAAAUAUCCGUGGCUACCUCAUCCACGUAUCCCAAAGCCCUAGGGAAAACCAUCAAUCCAUACAAACUUAAGGCAAAAACAUCCACCUUCGUCUCAUCAGGGUGUGUCAGAAUCAAAUCUUUCAAAGCGUCCCACGAAAUGCACUUGCACUCACCCUUUUCCUUAAUUCAGGCCGUGGCCCACUGCUCGCUCAUCCCCGUAAUAAUCAUCAAUUUCUUCCAAAAAGUAAGGACACAAGCAGCUCGAGAAUAGAUUCUAUCAUUCUGAAACCUGGGACAACGAAGCAAGGCAGUUUACUCCUCCAAAGUAGGUACCAUAUCUACUUCCCCAAAAGUGAAGCAACUGUACGCUGGGUUCUAAAAUUGAGCAAGGGCUCGAAAUAAGUACUCGUCUAUCUGAACAUCAAGCAAGUACGGUAAGUCUCCGUAAUUACCGUAGAAUAACUGCUUGGUCUCUUUGCCCCACUGAUCCCAAAUUUCCUUAAGCUCCUGGAGAUUAUUCUGCAUGACACUAAUACGAGUGUAAUCUAACAACUCCGACACGUAUCCCUCAGCUAUACUAUCUCCCUUUUCUAGUUGAGUUUGCUCAAACCAUCUAUGGACGUUGGCGUUGCCUUCCACUCUAUCAAGAAGUCCGUUCUCCAUAAUAAAACUUCCUAACUUAGAAAUUUAUCGUGAACCGAUAUCUUUGUAAAUGCAAAAUGACAUGCAAACAAAAGAAAAGAGAUAGUCAGUAUCACAUGAUAUCAAUAAAUUUCAACGAUAACUUAUAAGGGUAAUAUCUAAAGUUUAAACCUAACUAAGUUGGGCUCAUACGGUCUUUCGAUAUGACGUUGGUUCUAAAGUUUGAGGUACCCGAACCAGCAGAUUCCUCGAUUCUCACCCAUUAUAGGCUCAUUUGAAUCGAGUUCGGUCCAGGGGAAUACAUUUCCCUAUGGCUACACGGAGAUGAAAAUCUCACGAAACCAUAGGUACGGAUGUAUCCCGAAAGUGAUCCACUAUCCUGCACGGAGGCGAAAACCUCACGAAGGCAUAGCUUCUCACUCCUACUUAAGGGUGUGACAACGGUCAUGCAAAUGCAAUGCGUAUUAGGAAUAGCAACACAUGCAAUAAUACAAACACAUGUAAUGCAAAGAGAAUUAAAUUUUAAAAUUUUUAAUUUCCGACAAGAGAUAAUCAAUUACACGGCUUGACUCUCUUAUUAGUCCCCAGUAGAGUCGCCAAGCUGUCGAAACCAUUUUUAAAUCGAGUUUUGGAAAAUGGGAAUCAACUUUAAAAAUGAAAACAGGAGUCGCCACCAAUCUUUUUAGGUGCGAUUGGAUCACCUUUAAAACAUUUUGUUUUAAAAUCACUAGUUUUGGUCUACGAAAUCAGAAAACGGGUUCGAGAGCCGGUUACGUACGAGAAAGGGUUAGCACCCUCGUAAUGCCCAAAAAUUGGUACCUAAUUGAUUAUCAAGUGUCUUUAAUGUCAGAGAUUCAAAAAUUUUAAGAUGCCAUCCCUUUUAGAAUAUUUUGAUUUCUUGUAAAUUAGAGUUCACUCGUAUCAAAGUAUUGACACUAAGUGAGCUUUUUAGAAAUCCCUAUCUCGAAACAACAAAAUGCUAUAUCUAAUAAGUUAGGACAUAUUGCUUUGCAAUUCCAAGACAGUUGCUCACAUUUUGCAAACAUUUAAAAACUAAGAAGGGUACUUCAUUAUUCGAACUUAACGAGAAAAGUUGCAACCCAAUAAGUUAGGGCACUACUUUCUCGAAAUUUCCAAACACCAAGCAUUGCCUUUAUAUUUUUUGAAAACUUUGGGGCCUUAAAAUGAUGCAUGGGGAAUUGUAUUGUAUUAUAAACCAUGCAUAGUAACAUAUUAUUGUAGUAGGUAAAUAAUACAUGCAUUUAAACAAAAUGAUGGCAGUAAUAUAAAGGUCUUGCAUUAGAUACAUACAUAUAAAAAUCAUAUAUACAUGGCAAAUAUUAACAAUAUACAUACAAAGAUAUAUGUAGCAUGUAUUGAGAAUGAAUAAACAAAACAUACAAACAUACAAAGUAAUACAUAGACAAUGUAUGAUAUACAAAAAAGAGUAAUACAAUAUCAAUGUACAUGUUCAUGAACUGUAAUAUUGAAUAUAAAAUAACAUAUAACACAUGAUAAUAUAAAAAUACAUAAAAGAAUUAAUAUAUAUAAAAUACAAUAUGAGGUGAAUAAUUGUUAACAAAAUAUAUAUAAUAAAAAUAUGAUAUUUAAUAAUAAUUUUACAAUAGUAUUUGAUUAUACAAUAUACAUAUUAACAAAAUAUUUAUAAAAGGGUAAUAAUUAUGUAUAAGAUAUAUUGGUUUAAAAGUAUGUGAGAGAACUUAUAAAGUAACACAUAAUAUAAAAAAAUAUAAAAAAUAAAUAAUUAAUAAUUAAUAAUUUAAAAUGAAUACAAUAUGAGUUUUAAAAAAAUAAUUUAAUUUACAAAUUUUAAAAUUAUAAAUAAUAUAAUGAAUAAUAUAAACAUAAAUAAUAUAAUAGAUAAUAUAUGAUAUACAUAACAAAAACAGUAAGUAAUAUAGAAUAAAAAUAAAAAUAUAAUAAACGUUAUAUAAUAAAAUAUAGUUUAAAUAUAAAGGAAAUAAGAAAUAUAAUAGAUAUAAUAUAAAAUAAUAAAAGUAUAUAUGUAAAAACAAUAUAUAUAAAUAGUUAAUAAAUAUAUAAUACAAGUAAAAAUAGAAUAAUUAUAAAAAAAAUAAUGAUGUAAAAUAAUAAUAAUUUGCGGGAAAAAAACAAUAGAUAAUAAAUAAUAUUAAUAUAUAUAAUAAAAUAAUUUUUCAAUAUAUAAUAUAAAAAUAGGGUAAAAAAAAGCAAAUUACAAUAUAUGAAAUAUUUAAAUAUAAAAUAAAAUGAAAAUAAAUCUAUUGGGCUAAAUUUAAAAUUCAGCAAAAUUACUGGGCGAAUUCAAAAGAAAUAGAACUGAAUUUAGGUCCUAAUUAAAACGAGCGCAAAACAAAAGAGACUCAUUGGGAAAAUUUCCCUAUUCCCAAAACGACUGCGUUUUAAACUGGGACUUAAAGCAGCUACUUUAGGGAUUAAAUCACAAUUGAGACAAAAUAUUAGGGUUAAAUCAUAAAUAAAAUAAAACUUAAUUGUAAACACAAAAAGGCUGGAAGGAUCAAUUGGGUAUUUAACCCAAUCCCAAAAAACGCGCGGAUCCUCCCCGGGUAAUCGGGUCAACGCGCGGAUCCUGGGGUUAUGAAACGAUGUCGCUUCGUUAAGGCUAUAUAAGCCAACUUCUCAGCCUUAAACUCAUUUGAAACCCGAUUUUUUUUAAAAAAAACCUAAAAUUUUCUCUAAAAGAGAGAGAGAAAGGAGAGAAGCUCCGGGCUCUGGCCUCUGUAGGCCUCGCCCUGGUCGUAGGCUUCACGCGCCGCCCUAAGGACCACCGCGCACGGUGUCUAGGGUUUGAAAAACCAUUCCCUUCCUUCGCCAAUCGUCAGGUAGCCUCCAUUUUCUUUUAUUUUCUUAUAUUAUUUCUCAAAUCAAUGUAUACAGGUCAGAAAACAAAUAGAUGAAAAAGAAAAGAAUAAAAAAAUGAUUUGAUUACCGUAAGAAACGAAAAAAAAAACUGUUUUUUUUAUUUCUUCUGCUCUAAAUGGAUACAGCUGCUAGUAAAAUCUUUUUUCUGUAUUUUUGUUUCUCUUUUUCUUUUCAUUUACAGAUUUUGCGAAAGGCUUUAUAGCCUCAGACUACUGCCUAUUUUGGAAAGAAAUCAGAAGAUUUCUUUCCAUUUCCUGCUCUAGUAUAUCUGCUGCCUUUUUCUUUGAUUUCUUUCCUUUUCUUGCAAAUACCCCGAAGAUCUCGGUGAUGGAAGGUUGCUAGCGUUGAUGGAGGCCUGAAGUCUAGUGGUGACAGAGACGAGAAAUUACAGCGUGCUUGGUGGCGACGAUCGGGCUGUUGAAUCUGUGAGAUGAAAGGUCACGUCGUUUGGAGUGCCCGAAACUUCUAGAAACUCCUUGCGGCGCUAUGUUCUCAGGAAACCCUAGGGUUUCCUUGUCUGUUUUUACCGUUUUGGGCCUUUUGGGCCACUUUAGUCUAGGGUCUGUUAUUUAGGCUUGGGUGUAACCUGGUUUGGUUUAAUUUGGGCUACGAGUGUAUUUUGGGCUGCUGGGGUUUAAUUCUUUUGGACUCUGUAUAUGGAAUUUUAAAAUAGAUAAAUACUUAUUUAUUUAACCCUUUUUAUUCUAUCUUCGGCCCGGUCAAAUUUGGGCUAAUACAAACUUUUUAUUUAUUUUUCACAUAAAAAUCUUAUAAUAUAAUUAUUUAAUUAAUAAAUACCUUUUAUAAAUAAUAAAUAUCUAUUAAUACUUAAAUACAAGCAUUACAUAAGUCAUCAGACACACCGUUCAUGAUCAUCGUUGUUACAUUAAAUCUCUUCAUAAAGUCACAAAGGGAGUUAUUCUCGCGCUGUCGGAUGGCAAUAAGAUAUGAUGGGGACUACAAAUGUAACAUCAUCGAAAAACCCUUGGUCGUAGUAGUAUAAUUUUGAAUAAUUAUGAGUUGAAUUUUUUAGAAUAAAUAAAUAUGAUUUAUAUGCGUUAGUAGAGAAUGUAGUAGAAGACUGUAGAAAAUUUAAAAUACUUAUGUAUUAAGAGAUAUUAAUUCGAGAUAUAGAAUAAAUUAUAAGGUUUUACAAAGUGUUGGGGUCAAAGUGAGAAAUUAAAAGUAAAAAUGAUUAAAUUGAAUUAAUAGUGAAAUAUGUGAGGACAUGGAGAGCUAUUUUACCAAGAGUUAGUGAAUAAAGAUGAUAGAUAGAUUUUAUUUUACAUUAUUAUGACAUUAUAUUAUAUUAAUUUAUUAUUAUUAUUAUUAUUAUUAUUUUAAGUAAAAGAUGGAUAAAGUUCUUUAUCAUUCUUUUCUCUCUUACAUUAUCAUCAUUUUUGGGAGAAGAGAACUGUAUUUUCUCUUCAAUUUUAUCCUCCAUCACCUUUAGUCCAUUUCAAUCUAAAAAUCACCAAAUCUCCAUUAAAAACCUUGGCUAAAUCAAGUUACCCACAACAUAGUAAGCUUUGAUUUUUUAAUAAAAGUGGUGGGUUCAUGCGUGAAGAGAGAAAAUUUAGAUGAAGUGAGAAACUAAGGUUUUAAGUUAACAUUUUCAUUAUUUAGUACUUAGUAACAUGUUUAUUACAAUUAUUUAUGGAAAUGUUGUGAGAUAAGUAUCUUGGUUUCUUAUGUUUUAUGAUACUGAUACAGAAUAAAAAGAAAGCCAAGGAAUAAGAAGGAAAAGGUGUAGACAAAGGAAAACAAAUGGACAAAGUUUCAAGAAAGUAUAGUUGGUUAAAAUUUGAAAGUACUUUAGACUUAUUUCCUACUUAAUUAAGUUUUCAAUUUAUAUGUUAUUACUUGUAACUUAAUAAGCAUGUGAAUAAUCCAUUGAAAUGGUAAACGAAUGUGAUUAAUGUUGAUGUGAAUUUAUGUGAAGAAAAAAGAACUAAAUUGUAAGUGUUGGAAAAUUAUGUAUGAAUAUGAAAGUAUGAAACUCGAUUGCGCUUGUGAUGAAAAUUGAAUUUGUAAUAAUUUUAAAGCACUUGUAGAAAAGUAUUGAACUUGAGGGAUAUAGAUGGCAUGCCAUUAGGAAUACAUUAGUGCACUAGUGAAAUUUAGCACCCGGUGCUCCUAAACUUAGCACUUUAGUGCUUUUGUUUUAGCAUGCUCAUGUAUUUAUGACUUCAGUUCAUUGACCCUUUUGGUUCACUCGAGUCUAUAAUUGGCGGAAUUGAGAGAUACAUGAAAAAUGUAUGAAUGACGAAAGUAUGGUAAGUGGAAUUGUGUAGAUUAACCUUAUUUUUAUUGUGUAUAUUAUCCAUGGCUAAUUAUUGAGGUCAUUAUAAAAAUAUUUAUUCAUUCACUUGCUAAAAUAGUACUUACUAAGUUUUCACAAUCAUAACGCGUGUUUUUAACACGUAGGAAAAUAUUGAGAGAAGUCUCAUUUGAAGUGGCCAACCUCAUCCUCAUUACAUCACCAAAGGAGUUUGUGAACUUAGAUUUUUAGUUAUAUAGUGGCAUGUAUAGAGGGUUAGAAUCAUAUAAAUUUUUGUUGUAAAUUAGUUCUGUUGUUGUAAAACUAUGUUAUGCAUUUUUAAUCUUAUUUUGUACUUUGGAAUGAUCUCCCUUAUAUGGAUAUACUUAUGAGUUAAAUGAUGUUUUUGAAUGUUAUAUGAUACAGAAUGUUUGAAGGUUGUUUAUAUUUAGUUUUAGGUGUUUUAGGUAAUAUGUCUCCAAUGUCGCGAAAUUCAAUCUUUAGUGUUGUGACAUCCGAAGCUAAUGUCACGACAUCUGAGUUUAGUGUUACAAUAUUGAGCAUACUACUUUUAGUAUUGCGACACCCAUUUUGCAGUGUCACGACAUGGAUCUUAUUUACCUUGUUUUGAUUCGAAUAAGCCCCGAACGACACCUAUUUGUAACCAAACUUUAAAGUAAUCUUAGAAAUGACUUAAAUAAGUCCAAAUGAGUAUAUUUAUGUAAAGUUGAAGUCUUGAGAUUGAUGCUCAAAUUAAGUUACCUUUUGAGUCCAAAUGUGAUAUCUCUUGCUCAGGACGUAUCGGUUCAUUCCAGGUAAGAGGUGUUAUAACAGAGGGGUCUUGUUAGCCAAAAAUAUGUUCAUGAAUAAUAGGCUAACUAAUCGAAACUAUGGAUGAGCACUGGUGAGAGCGAAAAAUACCAUUUUUAGGCAAUGUUGGAGAGAGUCAUAGAGAAGGCUUUGCUUUUAACUUCAUCAUAGGCCCCAAGUGUGUUCAUAUGUUUGUUGUAGUGGACAAAAUGGUCCUUCAAGUCAUCUAUUCCACUGUAAGACAACUUAGGGAAUUUAAAGGUGGCCAAAGGUUAUGAACCAAAACUGACGGGGUCAAAGGUUCAUUGGCAUAAAUCCAUAAAGCUUUAUAAGACUUAGAACCCUUGACCUUUUGCAGCAACUUCAACUUGAAAGCUACUAUCUGUUUUUCAAUAGAGGUUACUUUGCUGCGGACUUGACCAUGCCCCGGCGUACAUGUAUCGAGGCUGAAAAUCAAUACAAAAUAGUCAAUAAUAGGGUGGUAUACUACAAGUGUGACAGGUCAAGUUGUAAUAUUUUUAAUGUUACAAUGGAACACUCAAGCAUUCAAAGGAUCAAACCCAAGAGAGUUCAAGGACAAAGUGAUUCCUAUGCAAUAAGCAUGCAAAUGGAAAGUCUCGCUAACUAUUAGCUAAGUAUCAUAUUACGACAAUUCAUAGUCAAGGGUAAUUUAUACUAAUCGGUUACCCAACACUAUGUAGAACCAAAUUAUAAAACAAGAAAAAUUACACAAUUAAUUAACUUCCAUGUUGUUAAUUAGUCUUUGGAUUAGGGAUCUAAGAGGCUUAAACUUUUAAUUAGCUCAAUUUCACCUUUCAGUCACCAUGUUACCAAAUUAGAAGAUUUAGUCCAUUUUAUCUCUCAAUCUCACUAAACUAACUCGGACUAAACUAAUCGAUGUUUAAAAAGAUCUCUCAAUCUCACCUAUCUAUAUAUUCCUUUAAAGGCAUCAAUUAUAAGUUUUGAAGUUUAUUCAAUUUAGUCUAGUUUUUAGAAUUUAAUCAUUGUACCAAAAACCAACCAAACAACCAUCAACCAACCACCAUAAAUUUAGCUACUCCCAUCAUUCCAAUACAAAUAAAAACCCAAUAAGCAUUCAAACCAUACAUCAGAUUAAGCACAAAAGUAAGGUUUAAAAAAAUCUUAGUGAUUUCUUGAUGGUUGUCUGGAGAAGAUGAAGAUGGCAACAAAUGUGGGUGAAAAUAACUCUAAAGUUCAGAUUUUCAUCUAAGAAAAUGAAAUGGAGCUGAGCUGAGCUAUAUUAAUGGCUAAGGAUUAAACUAAAAAUACAAGUAGAUUUGGAGUGC